ACAAGUGUAAGUUUCCUUUUACCCAUAUCAAAUGUUUCCUGCAGCAGUAAAUAAACUUUGGCGAAUAAAGUCAGGAAUCAUAGCACGAUAGCACUUGUCCUGGUUAUGUUACGUGGGUCAUGGCAACAGCUUUAAAUAAAAGGGCCUAAGAUAAAAAUAAAAAAGUAGCCCCAUUUGCAACAUACUAUGAACAAACACAAAUUAAAGUUGCCAUCACGCCCUGGAGUAAGUAUCUUCU
rnacentral:lncRNA from 1 species